rnacentral:rRNA from 1 species
UACGUAGGUGGCUAGCGUUGUCCGGAUUUACUGGGCGUAAAGCGUGCGCAGGCGGUUCGUUGUGUCGGCGGUGAAAGCCCCGGGCUCAACCUGGGAAUGGCCGUUGAAACUGGCGAACUGGAGUGUGGCAGAGGGGGGUGGAAUUCCGCGUGUAGCAGUGAAAUGCGUAGAGAUGCGGAGGAACACCGAUGGCGAAGGCAGCCCCCUGGGCUGACACUGACGCUCAGGCACGAAAGCGUGGGGAGCAAACAGG